rnacentral:sRNA from 2 species
UUGAGGACGGGUGAUGGCUUCUUCUGAUGAGUUGCUCGGCCACUCUUACUACCGAAGAAGCAUGCCGAGCAUACUUGGACAUCCAUGGAGCUUCGAUACCAGAAGCUAUAACUAUGUUUGGAUAAUAAUCAGAUAUUCAAUCUUUGUAUAAUUACAAGCGAGGUUGCCGGUAUACAUACGUGGGACAAGAUCGACGACGGGAACAAGUGGCUUUGGACCUUCGCUCUUUGGACUGGAGUACAGAUUAAGAGUCCGUGGCGUAAUUGAAGAAGUUGUGUAGAGGAUAAUCGGCGGAAGUCAGCGAAGGACCAAAAGAGAGCCGAACAUAGAUAUAUGACGUCAUUUUGCUGCUGAGGGUUCGGUAAAGUUUCAACGUCUGCCGAGUGCCAAGGCCCUAAAAUGCUUCACUUUGCCGAAACAUGCAAGAUGUUGUGGCGAGUUGAUCGAUUGUGGUCGGUAUGACUGACGAUAACUAACAGCUAUGCUUAUAUGAAGUGAUGGGAUGUCUGUGGUGGAUUUUGGGAGAAGAUGGUGUUAGUCUUCAUCAGUAUCAUGCCCAAAAUCUUGCUGGUUGGGCGAAGAUACAAAUGCCGCCUAUCGGCUUCAUGGGGAAGAUUUUCUGUUGACUCCGUUAACCCAGCUUUGAUGAUGAAUGGUCA